rnacentral:lncRNA from 1 species
CACACAGUAGCAUGACAGGCCUAUGGUUAUCUGAUUGGCACACCGUAACUGCUCUAUUUCGUGCAUUUACACUUAAGCCUCUAAUAAUAGUUCUUUGAAAAGCACUGUCUUGUAUUUAACUGAUGAUUGGCUCCAGCAAUUAAAUCCUACCACACUUUAGAAUGCUGGACUAUUCUGCUGCUUCCCAGAGUUGGAAAGAAAGGAGUUGACUCACAUCUUACCCAUCUCACUCCAGGUCAGCAAUGGCACUGGAGGCAGUGCUGGGGAUACUGAGGAUAUUGCUGUUUUGAGUGGCAUGUGUUUGCUCUGGAGAAAACAAUACAGAGCCUCCCUCGAAUGCAGAGUUAACAGUGGGGUUGUGUUUCUGAUCAACAGAAGCUGCUGGAUUACACCUUGUCCACAGAUAUAAAAAGUUCCAGAUGGUAUUUCUGGAAGAACUAGGGAUACAACAGAGAACACAACAGAUAAAGUCACCACUCUCAUGUGGCAUAUAUUCCAGCGGGGAGGAGCAGACCGACAGCAGAAUGGGUCAACGUAAGGAACGGCAGAUAACGGGCUGGACGAACUGAAGAAAGAUGAACUCGGGCAGCAGCCAAGAACUGAGAGGAGGGGGUCAGCAGAUUCCCUAACUUCUCUCCUCCGCUACCUCUUGGAGUUUAUGUCCUCAUUUCAAUUAAACAAGCCUUUGUUAAAACCUUAGCCCUCUGUGCUCAGCCCUCUACUGGGACAUUUUUAAAAUGAAUUUUGUAUUAAAGGAGACAGGACUUUAGGUCUUUUCACUUCAACCAGGUACUGCCAGAAUAUUGCACUAUACAUGAAUCAGAAAGUGAGUUCACCUUAAUAAGCUCACCCAAUUUUAUACAAAAGCUAUUUGUCAGAGAGAAGUCGACAUUGG